GCGGAUUACAAUGAAAGUGAAUGACAGCAGUAGGCUACUAAUAAUAGUGCACUUGGUUUGCAGACUGUCACUGUGUACACAAUGCAGCUUGAAGCAGGCGGGAAGUAUAUAGGUAAAGGAGGGAUAUUUUGAAGAAUAUGGACGAUGAAAAGAAUUGCACCGGUCCUCUUAUAAUAGCGCUGCAGUAUAAUGACCUGUUUGACUUGGACUCGAUCUCCACGUCCACAAACACAGAUGAUGCACUACCCAAAGGAAGAGCAGUCACUUUUAUUAAGGCAGUGCAAAUAGUGAACGAGAGACUUGUGGAACAGAAAGAGACAGAGUCUUUGCUUUUUGAAGUGAUCCUCAUCGCAAAGGAGUGCUCUGAAGAAAUCAAAAUGAAGAUAGUUGAGAGUGUGAAGUAUUAUGGUCUAGAAAUAGGCAAAUUUUUCUUUUGCAAAAAGGAAGAACUCAUAAAUACUCUUCAGUCAAACAAAGUUAAGCUGUUCCUCUCUACUGACAGGGAUGAUGUCUGUGAAGCUCUGCAUACAGGAAUUCCAGCUGCUUUGCUGUACGAUCAGUGUGAUGAUCACGUCCUCAAGGUCAUUAUCUCAGGUGAUGCUAUCGGUUUCACUGAGGAUUCACUUGAUAGUCUUUCAGAUUUUGGAUUCAGUGAAACCCAAAUAGAGACCUUCAAAGCAGCAAAGAUCUGCAUGAAGGAGUUUGCCGUUCUGAUCGGUCAGAUGAGGAGGAGGUUUGGGCGAGAGAACAGCCCUCUCUGCAUUUGUGUUUUAACAGCAUGGGGCUCUACGAACGUCUGUGCAUCUGCCCUGAAAACUCUCCGGGGAUGGGGUCUGGAUGUGGACGAGGCGUUUUGUCUGGCUGGAGCUCCCUGCAGCCCCAUACUAGCUGUGGUUAAACCCCACAUACUCUGGGAUUGUGGCCUUCACAACAUGAGGGACUUGGCCACACAUUCCUGAGAGUUCGUAACACUAAGCUUGUGGUUUACAACACAAGUGUGGCUUACCUUUCAUUUCAUUCAGGCUUGACGUCAGUAAAGUCAGAAAGAAACAGCAUAUUUCUACACUCGACAGAGUGCAUGAGUCAACUGCUGCAACUAUAAUCUUUCACGGCACUGACGAAGCAGGAGCACACCAAAACUGCAGUGUUUCUGAAUCACCCUCAGCCUUAUGUAUUUUACAGGAGAAGACUGUCCAACAUGGACUUGAUGUGGAAGUGAAAAGUUACUUGGCACUGCACUAAAUUAAACCCAGAUGUGGUCUGGCUAUUAAUGAACCUUGUAAAAUGGGCUUGUUACUCAUUAUGGUUGAGGUCUUGUCUUCAUUCAUGUUGAGUCCUAACAGUAUUCAUACUGUGUGGAGCAUAACCAUGGGGCUUUAGAU